GGACAUUNNNGGGAAUAUUGAUCACUCCCAACCCUUAUGUGAACAUACCUACUGUUGCUUCGGCGGACUCGCCCCGGCGUCCGGACGGCCUCGCGCCGCCCGCGGCCCGGACCCAGGCGGCCGCCGGAGACCCCCAAACUCUGUAUUAUCAGCAUUUUCUGAAUCCGCCGCAAGGCAAAACAAAUGAAUCAAAACUUUCAACAACGGAUCUCUUGGUUCUGGCAUCGAUGAAGAACGCAGCGAAAUGCGAUAAGUAAUGUGAAUUGCAGAAUUCAGUGAAUCAUCGAAUCUUUGAACGCACAUUGCGCCCGCCAGCAUUCUGGCGGGCAUGCCUGUUCGAGCGUCAUUUCAACCCUCGACUUCCCUUUGGGGAAAUCGGCGUUGGGGAACGGCAGCAUACCGCCGGCCCCGAAAUGAAGUGGCGGCCCGUCCGCGGCGACCUCUGCGUAGUAAUCCAACUCGCACCGGAACCCCGACGUGGCCACGCCGUAAAACACCCAACUUCUGAACGUUGACCUCGGAUCAGGUAGGAAUACCCGCUGAACUUAAGCAUAUCAAUAAGGCGGAGAGAAA
rnacentral:rRNA from 1 species